GCUUGGAUGUGACCUCAUGUAUUGAUCCUGACAUCUUUUUCUUUUUCUUUUGUUUCUCUCUCUCUACUUUAUGUCUCCCAGACUUCUAUUUUCUUUCUCGUUCUUCUCUAAUAUAUUUUGUUUUUUCUGUAGAUGCACAUUUUGGAGAACCAUUUCUUUCUUUUGUAGAGUACUGUGUUUAUUCGUUAGUAAUAUUUCAUCACGUCGGGUACGUAUGUACACCAAACAUGGUACAUAAACAAGUUUUUAAUUACAGUACAUUAUAGUACAUGACAUGUAUCUUAUCAAUUUUUAAGUACCUCGUGUACACGAACUUGUGA
rnacentral:lncRNA from 1 species